AUGUGUGUCUUUUAUUUUACUGAAAAAAACUACUGGUAAAUAGACUUUUUGGCCAACCCAAUACAACUUUUGGUGGUACAACUUAAAAAGAAGGGAGACCUUGUUCUCUUUCUUGUUUUAAAGGGUAAAAACAAAACCACAGAAAAUGGAGCAUAAUGCAUUAAAAGCAAAGAGACUGUUAGGCUUUAUUUACAGUUUAAUUUCCAGAAAAAAGUCAGAGACUACAUCCCAGUUAGGGCUGUUAUUUGGUAUUGUGUUUAUUUUCAGAGAAAGGUUUUACACUGGCAUUGAUGCAACACAUUUGAUUUAUAUCAACUAUAAUGAUGAAGAAAAGGAAACAAAUAUUAUGUGAAUUAGCUGAAUGAACUUGGACUCUUCAGCCCAGAAAAGAAAAGAUGUGAGGAGAAAGAUGGCUAUUUCACAUAUUUAAAAGGCUGUCAUAUGGACUGUGUUUAGACUUUAUGUUGUCACUGCAGUGUGCAGUGACCAAUAAGCAAGUUGAAGUUGCAAAUGGACAGGUCUCAACUCAGUGUAAGGAAGGGUUCUAAGUAAGACUGCCAGCUAUUUAAAGUACAUGGCUGUAGGCUGCUCUGUGAGUAGUCAUCAGGUUCAAAUGGAAGGUGAAGUCAGUUGCAGGUUUAUGGUAGAAGGAAUUCUUUUUACAUGAGACAUUAAAUAUGAUGACAUCACACCUCCUUUGCUUCUAAAUCUCUGGGUUAGAGGAGAGUGUCACUUCAGACUUGAUCAAUAACUAUAGUAUAUAGGGUUUUAACAUUUGAACAGUACAGUUCUUUGGGGGCAUUUUUUUCAUGUAUUAUAAAUAGUAGCAGAAUAAAAGGGAAAAGCUAAAAUAAAAUGUCUUUGAGUAACAUAGAUGGUAUUUAAUAAAUACCACCAUCAGUGCAGCAAAUGGCACAGCCCAGUGUCAGACCAGUGAACUUCAUAAGGUGCAGCUGCCAAUCCAAAAACUGAAACCAGGUGGCAAAAGGUCUCUGGGGCACUUGGUGUCUGUAAGUAAUCAGUUAUUGUAAAAGCCCUGGUCAGACACAAAAUUAGCUUCAUUGCUGAUGACAUUUUUAAUGGCUGAAGGACCUCACAGCUUUAUUUAAUUAGAAUUGCAAUACUCUAUAUAUCAAUACAUGUAAGCUACCUUUGACCAGUGUUUGGUUCUCUUCUACUUUGUUAGCUUAAGUUGCAAUAUACCAGACAUUUAUUUCUGUAAUGCAAAGGGAUCGUAAAUACGUGAUGGAAGACAAGAUGCACUAUCUACACUGCCCCGGUGGUUCUCUGUGGCAUUUGCUCUGGUUCUUCCAUUCAUCCGUAACCAACCCUUAAGGAGAAAUCAAAUACAUCUGUAUUUGGUUUCUGCUCAGUGGAAAUUAAAUCCCACAAAAACCAAACCAUGGUUUGAACUGAAAAUGUUCAUUUUAGAAGUAUGUUGCUGCCCUUUUGCCCCUCCCCAGUGGAUAUGGAAGUGAAUUAAAGUUUAUUCACAGGGGGAAUUGAUAGAUAAGAGAUGGAUAAAGACUUAAAUUGCUAAUGUUGUCCAAAAUCAUUACUUUCCAAGCCUGGUCUUGUACUUCAAAGCUUUUUAGAAAACUGUGGUGGAGAUUGAGAAUUUUGUGUAAAGGCCAGACUGUUCAGUGCAGAGAGAAAUGAGUAGUUGGAGUCCUUUAAGCACGUCAUGGGAACGUUCUUGUAGGUUCCUGUGUACCAUUAGCUAAAAUUUCAGUUAAUAUGGUAAGGUAAGUUUUCUUCUGAUUAUACUUUGGGUAAUUUGUCAGAAAAGCAUUUACUUUAUUGAAAUAGUAGUUACUGUACUUAUAACAAUUGAGACUGGCCAUAAAACAGGAUAUGUAUAAAUAUAAGGGAGAAUAGCAACAUGAUUCAAAAUUCCCUAUUUUGGAAAAAUACUGUGUGAAAUCAAAGGACAAUGAACUGCGUGUUAUCCAGAGGUCUAUUUCCUUAUACUUUUUCUGUUUUCUCCAUAAUAAUGUGGAGAACUAUAAGUCAGAAGUCUGCUGCAUGUUGGGACUACAUUGUUAAUCAAAAUAAUGAAGUAGUAGGUGGAGUGGGUGGAAUUCCAAUCCUCCUCCCAGAGCUGUGCAUCAGCCUGCCUCUGCCCUCCCCCUCCUACUCCGGGAGAAGUUGUAUCUUCACAUGUUGCAUUAUUCUUACUAGGCAUUUAUCUGUUAUCAGAAAUGAGGAAAGCAUUUUUUCAUUAUUGGCUUUGUUGAAGGCCUUGGUUUGUAUUUUAGUAAUUCAUUUAGUUAGGUAGUGAAUGGCUGGCUUAUCAUUAGGGAUCAGCUUUCUGCUCAUGAUGAUCCUUGUGCCUUUUAUGUAUCAACUGCUGACCUAAUCAGCCUGGUUCUUGUUAAAACUUAGGAACAGUAAGCACUUGGCAGGUUACCCUGACAUUUUCACGACAGUUCACAUGAGGAAAAUAUAACCAAGAAAUAAGAAAUAGACAGUGAAUGCCUUUGUGUUACGCGUAACUGUAAUGUGAAUUUAAGCCUUCUGUUUAUAAUAAAGGCUCUGCUGGAUUACCUCGAAUAAUCUUUCAGAUUUCGCAGCAGUUGCUAACUGUGAAGCACAUGUAGUCAUCUCCUCCACAUCUAAUGAAGACAUUACCUUGACUUAUUUCCUUCACUUAGAAGACUGUUACGGAUUUUUUUGUUGGUUACAUUGCACCAACACAAAGACAUAUUUAGGUCUUCUUAACUAUAAGAUUCCUCACAUCCUCUUACAUGGCCCUGUAGACCCCCGGGUUACCAUUAUGGUUCAGGAAGAGAUUUCUAGGGAAUAAGAUGCAAGCUGCAGUUACCUCCAAGAACAAGCCUGUGGUCCCACCGGUGCCCCCUGAGCAGUGUUGCAGGAGCCCUGAGGAAUCGAGGCUAAACCUGUUCUGUGAUGGGAACCUCACUCUGAGCUUCAUUCCAGCAUCACAGAAGGAUUUGUCAGAAGUUGGCUUGGACCUGAAAAGUAUAAAAUCCCUUGGGUAUGUUGGGAUUAAACCAUGCAGCUGUUCCCAGUUUCUUCAAGUUCUGUACUACUCCUUUCUCUCAGUCUUAGUAAGAUUUUUGAGCUUACAUGAUUUAAAAAAGAUUAAUUUAUAGUGUAGGCAAUUUGUAAUUGUUUUGUGGACUUUAAAGUUGUUAAAAUAUGCAGAUUAAUUGUUUCUUCUUGGAUUCUGCUGCUUACCUUUUAUUUCUAUUUUUCAAGAAGCCAUUAGUAUGCUAAUAAUCACAUGAUGAAUGAGUUGUUUUGAGAGGCGAAAAUCACCGGCUAUAACCAAGUUAUAAACUGUGUAUUUGUUUAUUUGUAUAAACUGGGUCUAUCACACAAGCACAGCUCCCUGUUAUGAUAGAAAAAAAUUGGGGACAUUCUAUAUGCUAGCUAACAGUUCAACUUGGAUAAUCAAGGGUGCUAUGUCCUAAGUCAGAGAGAAAGAAUAAAUAAAAGGGCUGAGGUGAGGGAUCUAUUUCCUCUGAGGAAGGAGAUGGAAGUGGCUUAGCCUCGUGAAUCAGCAGCCUGCUUAAGGGGCUGAAUAUGAAGGCAUAUAGACAUUGUUGUGCUCAAAUUUCUAGGCUGAAGGAAAAUAAACAGUCCCUAGGCAAAAGAAAUACCUACAUUUGGGCUUUUCUACCUUCAUCAGGUUAUUAAGUAACUAUGUGUCAUCCCAGACUUCUGCUUGGCAUGUGUUUUCUCAUUCAUCUCUCAGCAAACAUUUAUUAAACUCCUUAGUGCAGUGAUGCAUCUGAUGUGGGAUCCUAGGGAGAAAAUAGGGGAUUACCUGUUAUAAGUCAGCAUAUCUGACUGUCAUGACAAGGCAGAGAAAGGUCUUGUGAAUGUGAAAUCAAGCAGAAGGUCAUAAUAUGGGGCUUAAGGAACAGUGCAGACAUUCAAAGAACAGGGAGUGGCAUGAACCAGGCAUAAAGGUAGAAAGGUCCAAGGAUCACAUGGGCGGUGAGAGAGCAGUUCAUUUUACCUAUGAGGCUUGAAGGGUGAGUUGAGACAUCAUUUGGAGUGGCCUUGAGUAUCAGACUAAUAGGUCCAGGCUUUAUCCUGUCGAUAAAUUAAAGCCAGUAAAAGUUUUGAUCAGGUCCUCUAAAUCUGUCUCAAGAUCCAUCUGGCAAAGUGACCA